rnacentral:rRNA from 1 species
CACCGCGCCAUGGCUGAUGCGCGAUUACUAGCGAAUCCAGCUUCGUGGGGUCGAGUUGCAGACCCCAGUCCGAACUGGGACCGGUUUUAAGGAUUUGAUUACUUUUGCAAGCAACCGUCUCUCUGUACCGGCCAUUGUAACACGUGUGUAGCCCCGGACGUAAGGGCCGUGCUGAUUUGACGUCAUCCCCACCUUCCUCACACCUUACGGUGGCAGUAUCCCCAGAGUGCCCAGCAUGACCUGAUGGCAACUAAGGAAAGGGGUUGCGCUCGUUAUGGCACUUAAGCCGACACCUCACGGCACGAGCUGACGACAACCAUGCAGCACCUUCACAGAGACCCCGAAGGGCUCUACCAUCUCUGAUAAAUUCCUCUGCAAUUCAAGCCCGGGUAAGGUUCCUCGCGUAUCAUCGAAUUAAACCACAUGUUCCUCCGCUUGUGCGGGCCCCCGUCAAUUCCUUUGAGUUUCACCGUUGCCGGCGUACUCCCCAGGUGGGAUGCUUAAUGCUUUCGCUUGGCCGCUGGCCCAGGUGGGUCAACAGCGGGCAUCCAUCGUUUACCGUGCGGACUACCAGGGUAUCUAAUCCUGUUCGAUACCCGCACUUUCGAGCUUCAGCGUCAGUUGUGCUCCCGUAAGCUGCCUUCGCAAUUGGAGUUCUUCGUGAUAUCUAAGCAUUUCACCGCUACACCACGAAUUCCGCCUACGUUGCGCACACUCAAG